rnacentral:lncRNA from 12 species
GUGACAUUAUCCUUGGCUUGGUGGAAGGGCAGCAAGGGUGGAGUCCUGUUCGUGAAGCGAUUUCUAUCAAAGUUUUACUCAGGUGAAAUGUUUUCACCAAAUGAUUGAUGAUGUGUCAAAAGUCAUUCCUUGCCUCAUCUUAGAUCUGCAGUGAUUACUGCAAGACCAUAUUUGCUACAGUAUUUUUUUUUUAAUACCUCCAAUAUCAUUUGAGCGUCACUGGCCUGUGCUAUAGCAGUGGAACACUUCUACAGCAUUCUGUUCAUCAGGGGAUAUUGUUCUAUUGUUCUUUGGAAUCCUCACAGACCCCAUACACAAAGGUGUUCUUUUCCAAGUGGGCUGUCAGAUGGGGAACAAUGGAAGAAAAUGAAAAAUUUAAGCCUAUUGAAAGACUAUUUCAGAAUAAUUAUUCACCUUCUACCACACAAACCGCUUUACUUUCCAGAGUGCCUCUCUGCUCUGCCUUAAAAAAAAAAAAAAAAAAAAAAAAGACAAGAAAAGAAAAGAAAAGAAAAAAAAGAAAAUCCCAGCCUGGACUAUGCAGUUAUUUGCCACUGCUGCCAUCUAAUGAUGCCUUCUGGUAACACAGGACAAGAGAAGACGUGAUUUUCUGUUCCCCGGAAUGCUGGGAGACUAAACUUAACCUAAGAAAAGGAGAUGACUGAUUAUGUGAUGUGACUUCAAGGGUGAUAGACAAGCUGGAAGCUCCCUCAAACACCAUUUGUAUCCACUGAUUGGCGCAUGAAAGAUCAACAUUGGGUUUUUAUAUCCUCUGCAUUUUGAGCCCAUUAUCUUUGGGAAGGAUAACCUACUAUGUCCAUGUGAUUCUGGCAUCUCUGCAAGGUGCUCCUAUCAGCUGAAAAGAACAGGUUUCUUUAGUUGCAGACAUUAAGAUAUGCAAGACCAGUGUAUCCUGCUCAGCACAGAUGGAAAAAUAUCCUGACCCUAGCUCCAUGAUGAAACCAAGCUCCACUCAACCCUUGCAGCAGCUGAUGGCACUGUACCAACUUGACCAUGGACACCAAGGCUUCAAUCUUGAGGUGAAUUUCAAAACAUUUAUCAAGAGAGAAGAGGUUUGGGUUUUCUUUUGCAGAACCAAAGAAGCAUGGAAUUAUCUUCUCUCCAGGGAUAGGCAGCCAUUUCUAGAUUCCACCAUCCUGCCUGAAGAAUGCUUCGUCACCUGUCAGUUUAAUUGUCCUAUGUUCACUUGAUAACACAAAAUGAAAGACUAAAGAGUGCUAAGAUCCAGUGCUGGCUGUGGAAUUAUUGGUGUGCUUGCAUUGAUGGUGCUGGUUUACCAUUAAGAGAAGCACUCAUACGACUGUGGGAGGACUCAAGAGAGAGCUUGGCAACAGAUAACAUAUGGUUAGUAAAACAAAGCUAAAUAUUGUGCAGUUGAAACCCAGGCCCAACCAAAAUAGAGCUUUCCACAGAGAGAGUGGGUUUUUUGAGCCUCAGCCAUUAGUCUUAGUCUGAUUCUACAAGACAUGAAGGAACAAUGCUUGGAUAUAGUCAUCUGUGGUGGGCAUUUGUGGCAUUUCUUUCCUAGCUAAAGAAAUAAAUUUUGGGGGUACUUGCUUACUAUUGUUAUA